AAUGAACGUUGGCGGCGUGGAUUAGGCAUGCAAGUCGAGCGAGAAACCCGCAAGGGGGGACAGCGGCAAACGGGGUAGUAACGGGUAGGCAACGUACCCUCGGGAUGGGGAUAGCCACGGGAAACUGUGGGUAAUACCCAAUAAUCACCUGGUCCUUCAUGGAUUGGGUGCAAAGGUGUGAUUCCACCUGAGGAGCGGCCUGCUUCGUAUUAGCUAGUUGGUGAGGUAACGGCUCACCAAGGCAUCGAUGCGUAGGGGGUGUGAGAGCAUGACCCCCACCACUGGGACUGAGAUACUGCCCAGACACCUACGGGUGGCUGCAGUCGAGAAUCUUCGGCAAUGGGCGAAAGCCUGACCGAGCGACGCCGCGUGUGGGAUGAAGGCCCUUGGGUUGUAAACCACUGUCAGAGGGGAUGAAGUGCACGUGAGCCAUCUCAUGUGUUUGACAUAGCCUCAGAGGAAGCACGGGCUAAGUUCGUGCCAGCCGCCGCGGUAAAAC
rnacentral:rRNA from 1 species